UAUCCGGAAUUAUUGGGCGUAAAGAGUUCGUAGACGAACUGUUAAGUAGAAUGUAAAAGGCCGGGGCCCAACCCCGGUAGCGUAUUCUAAACUGACAGAAUAGAGCAAUGCAGGGGCAAGUGGAAUUCUGUGUGUAGGGGUAAUAUCCGUAGAUACACAGAGGAACACCAAAAGCGAAGGCAGCUUGCUGGGCAUUUGCUGACGUUCAAGAACGAAAGCGUGGGGAGCAAACAGGAUUAGAUACCCUGGUAGUCCACGCCCUAAACUAUGAUUACUCGAUGUCGGGGGAUUCGACCCCUUCGGUGUCUAAGCUAACGCGAUAAGUAAUCCGCCUGGGUAGUACGAUCGCAAGAUUAAAACUCAAAGGAAUAGACGGGGACCCGCACAAGCGGUGGAGCAUCUGGUUUAAUUCGACAGUAAACGAAGAACCUCACCAAGGCUUGACAUCCCGAGAAGAUUGCCGAAAGGCGAUUGUGCCGCAAGGAACUCGGUGACAGGUGCUGCAUGGUUGUCGUCAGCUCGUGCCUUGAGGUGUUCGGUUAAGUCCGUAAACGAGCGCAACCCAUGUCCUAUGUUGUAUUUAUCAUAGGAGACUGCCGGCUCUAAGUCGGAGGAAGGUAUGGAUGACGUCAAAUCAGCAUUGGCCCUUAUGCCUUUGGGCUUACACAGGUGCUCCAAUGGGAGAUACAAAAAGGCAGCACACAGCAAUGUGG
rnacentral:rRNA from 1 species